rnacentral:misc_RNA from 1 species
AAGUCGUAACAAGGUUUCCGUAGGUGAACCGCGGAAGGAUCAUUAACCCGUAUCCAAACGUUAACCGCCCUGUGAACAGUUCAAUGUGCUCGUACGCUUUGUCAGAACGAGGCAAUCCCUGGUAAAUCAUCGCCGAACAGUUUUGAUUCUGGGACUUCUCAAUGUGCAUGUUGCGAGGCAAGUGGCCUGACAUUCCCAAGCAGUUAGUGUCUGAAACAGUCACGAUCGGUGGUACACACAGUCACCGACACGGCCGACGGUCACUGGACGAAAGCUCCUUUAUCACCCUUUAUGCAUGUCAGAGGUCAGCCUUAAUUGUGCGGCACAACAAACCGAACCUUUAUCACCCUUUAUGCAUGUCAGAGGGCCUUAAUUGUGCGGCACAAAAAACCGAACAACUGUUAACAAUGGAUAUCUUGGUUCUC